AUUGAACGCUGGCGGCAUGCUUUACACAUGCAAGUCGAACGGUAACAGGCCGCAAGGUGCUGACGAGUGGCGAACGGGUGAGUAAUGCAUCGGAACGUGCCCAGUCGUGGGGGAUAACGCAGCGAAAGCUGUGCUAAUACUGCAUACGAUCUAUGGAUGAAAGCGGGGGACCGUAAGGCCUCGCGCGAUUGGAGCGGCCGAUGUCAGAUUAGGUAGUUGGUGGGGUAAAGGCUCACCAAGCCAACGAUCUGUAGCUGGUCUGAGAGGACGACCAGCAACACUGGGACUGUGACAGGGCCCAGACGCCUACGGGAGGCAGCGGUGGGGAAUUUUGGACAAUGGGCGAAAGCCUGAUCCAGCAAUGCCGCGAGUAUGAAGAAGGCCUUCGGGUUGUAAAGCACUUUUGUCCGGAAAGAAAUGGCUCUGGUUAAUACCUGGGGUCGAUGACGGUACCGGAAGAAUAAGGACCGGCUAACUACGUGCCAGCCGCCGCAGUAA
rnacentral:rRNA from 1 species